AGUAAUUGUGGGAAGCAGGGGUCAGUGGAGUGCCCACUUCCACCCAGAAACCUGAGACGACCCCUGCAAGCCCUAAACACAGGAACAGAGCCAAGUAGGGCGCGGCCGCACUUCAUGCAGGAAGGCUGGCCAAGAGGCAGCUGCACGCAGCGAGGAAACCUGGAGGCUAAGCCAGCGAGCGGCCGUGCCAAGAGCCGAGAGCUGGCCAGCGCCAAGGAGCAAGGAGGGAGACGGCCAGGAGGAGACUGGCAGCGUCCGGAGGUGCUGGCGCCCAGGUCAGCCGCAGAGGGGCUGGACACGGGUCUUCAAACUAUUCUCUUUUAACACACGUGUUCCUUCUCGAUAACCAGGCGGGAGUUCCAAAGAGUCUCAAGGCCCCGGCUGUCACAGGGCAGUGCUGAGCUCAAGUUCAUCAAAACUCAGCUUCCAGGAUUAGCCGGUUCCGUAAGUUGAUUUGGCAAGUUAGCAUUUUCAAAGUAUCUUCUGAUGACAAAAGUACAGAGAUGGAAAACAGGGAAGGGGGAUGGCUCUCAGGGGCUGGGAACAGCUGUAUCCUAACUGUCCUGGACGACCCCUCCUCUGUGCAGCUGGAAACCAGUGAACACAGGGCCGGCCUGCAGCCUGUUCACAGCACCGUGCUGGCACCAAGUCCCCCGUUCUGAUGUCACACCAUGGCCACACAGAACAGCCGGGGGAGUGAUGGCAGAAGGAUUCAUGGGACCCUAUGGGCUAAUUCUGCAACUUCCUGGAGUCUAUUAAUUAUUUCAAAAUAACAAGUUAAGAAAGCAUGCUCUGGAGUGGAACUUACACAGAUGUGUUGAAACCCAGUGUAAUUCGCUGAAGAUAGUACCUAGAUAAAGCUGACUUUUAACAAAACUAAAAGUUUUGUUGAUGGGCGUCAGGCUCCAGGGACCCUUAAACAGAAUACAAAACCUGGCGUGGGGCAUCGUGCUGGGAAGAGCAUCUACAGCUUUGACUUAUUUUCAAAGAGCUUUGUGACACCCCAAAGGCAAGACCCUUCAGUCCAUAAAGCAACCGUAAAACUGAAUUUACAACUAUGUAAGAUUUAGAUAUAUAUGGGCUUCCCUGGUAGCUCAGUUGGUAAGUAAUCUGUCUACAAUGCAGGAGACACAGGUUAGAUCCCUGGGUUGGGAAGAUCCCCUGGAGAAGGGAAUGGCUACCUGCUCCAGUAUUCCACAAAGGAGCUUGGUGGGCUGCAGUCCAUGGGGUCACAAAGAGACGAACACACACCUACUGUACUAUACACAUUAUCAAUAAACGUGUUUUUAAACAAAGUCGUUAACAUUCACUUAGCAAUCUUAAAUGUCAGCACUUGAGUUUAAAGCAAACAUUCCCCAAGACUCCUCCAGACGUGCUGGGCCUACAGUGACAGAAGUUAAGGGUUAAAGUUAACCCUAAGACCAGCCAGCCUGCAGCUGCUGCCCAGUGAAACCCAACGGGAAAACAAUACAGACCAGGGCUUCAUUGACUCAGCAAAGAUGGGAAAUACUCCACACUAAGAAGGAGCGAACAACUUCCCUGGUGAUUCAGUGAUUAAGAAUCUGCCUGCCAAUGCAGGGGACAGGAGUUCGAUCCUUGGGCCCAGAAGACCCCACAUGCCCUGGGGCAACUAAGCCUGGUGCACCUCAACUACUGAGCCUCAAGCCAUUAGUACCGAGCCCCUGAGCCCGAAACUCCACGCUCCACAAGAGAGACCGCCCACAGUGAGAGGCCCCCCACUGCAGCUGGAGCCCAGCCCCCGCCUGCCGCAACGAGAAACGCCCCGCGACAACAGGGACCCAGUGUAGCCAAAACCAAAUAGAAUCAAAACCAAAAAGGAGCAGAGAGACGUGCAGCCACUUUCCCAGACCUUCUAUCCUGGCGAGGUCAUUGCCAGGGGCCUGCACCAGGGAGGGAGGGGUGGAAAGAGGCCAGUGGCCUCGCAGGUCAGUGGGAGCUGGAAUUUGCCAGGGCCCCCAGCUCUGACCAGGAGGGAACCUUCUGUCAGCUGGUUUAAUGUACAGGUUGGACUCAAGCCCAUCACCGUCUCCAGCGUUUAUAUUUAAGCAGCCAAAUAUGCUUACUCAUUUUCCUCAGCUCUGAGAUAAGAGUCUUAUUCUUACCAAAGAGGAAAUAAAGCCUGUUUCUCAAGUCACCAUGAGAAAGCAAAAACGAGGAAGUCCCAUCCCUACCGUGUGCCCCGGAGCACUCCCAGCCACGGAGCAUUUCACUAUUUCUCUGACACCCCUCACGGUUCCCAGCAGAUCGGAAUGGAGGCUCACCUAGUCUGGGUUUGCGCUGCAGAGGAUGGGAAGGCCAAGCCCCCCAGUUCCGUCCCAGGAAGCGGGAACUGGAGUGAGGGUCGUCGAUCAUCAAGGGGUUAAGACUGAGGCUUCAGGCCACGGUCGAGCGGCGUCUCAGGGAGACCUGGACUCCUGAGACUGCGUCUGAGCCGCCGCCUCAGAAGACAAUGACAGGCGGACUCUUAACCAGUUCAGCCACCAGAGAAGCCCAAUUUCCAGUAGAAAACUCGAAUUUACCAUGGCAACAAAGACUCUCUGCUGUUUCUCUUGUUUGGGGGCAAACGCCUGCCAAGACCCCAAGUGUGAACUGCACGGCCGGCUCAGCACGGGUCGGGGUUUGCCCGUCGCCCGAGUGAGUGCUGCAGGAGGCUGACACCUGAGGGCCCAGACUGAAGUCGGCUGCAUCAAGGGUGUUUGCCGGCUCACCCCGAGACCCGGGGCUCGCUCGGGCACUUCCUCCCCAGGGUGUGUGUGAGGGGAUCCUGCCCGUGGCCACGCCGGGAUCCUCGCUGAGGAGCCAACAGCUUCACCCGCCGGGGCUUCUGCACCAUCCGUGCCCACGGGAGCCCCAUGAAAAAGCCGAAUCACCCUGUACUAGUUUCUGAGGCCGUGGUAACAGAGGAUCAUAACCUUCAAGGCUUAAACACCAGAAACUCAUUGUCUCAAAGUUCUGGCGGCUGGAAGUCCAAGGCCAGGUGUCAGCACGGUCACUCCCUCUGGUCCAGCUUGGCUGUGAUCUUUGUGUCGCCUCACGUUGUAGAGGUGUCAGCCUGACCCCUGCCUCUGUCUUCAGGUGACCUUCUCUGUGUGUGUCUAUGACCAAGUGUCCUCUGAUAAGGACAGUAGCCAUGUUGAGUUAGGGCCCAUCCUAAUGACCCCACCUUAUAUGAACUGGGGGACACAAUCCAACCUUUAACAUACUGCUGUCUUGUUAUGACGCUCGUCUAGAGCUCAGGGCCCCCCAGGGACCUGUGGACCCUGCCUGGGAGAAUGCUCCAUGGGGGUAACUGCGGAACAGGCUGCGUGCCCCCGACUUUAAUUCUGCCCCUCGUGGAAGCCCAGCAAUUCCCACAGCAAUCGCUUUUGGGGGGAGGGUUAAUAGGAAUCGUUCUUAUGCUUCUCCGAAUGGAGCUGUUCUCAGCACCACCCUCACCCAUGAAGCCGCCCUGCCAAGCACACCUUCCCAGGUGACAGGCACACGUUGUGCCUUUAUUGUGAUCCCGGUGGCUGAUACGGGUGUGACGACAUCUUGCCUCCUGUGCUAUUUUGUGCAGCAAUCUUUCAGUGAGUCAAAUAUUUUGAAAAAGUCAGAAAGAAAUGGAAAAGAAGAAUCUCCACUCAAAAUAGCAUUGGGCCCCGCUGGCCUUUUGGCCCGGCCCGAGUGGGGGAGGAGACGGGGGGAAUCAGAGGCCCGCGGGUGAGGGGACAGUCACAAAGACAGCCUGUCCCCAGCACAGAGCCAGCCUUGUUGGUGGGAUGUCCGUGGGUGGCACAGCUGGGCACUGGGCAGGCGCUGGGUGGGCAGCU